rnacentral:lncRNA from 1 species
GAGAUAACAUGGAGGAGGGGGGGAACCUAGGAGAUAACAUGGAGGAGGGGGGGGAACCUAGGAGAUAACAUGGAGGAGGGGGGAACCUAGGAGAUAACAUGGAGGAGGGGGGAACCUAGGAGAUAACAUGGAGAGGGAUGGGGGGAUAAAGUGCAUAUGUCAUACACAUUUUUGGCAAAGCUUUCAUGUACAGUACAAAUGUUUGUGUAUGCGAGGGAGAGAGAGUGUGUGUGUGUGUGUGUGUGUGUGUGUGUGUGUGUGUGUGUGUGUGUGUGUGUGUGCGUGAGCGUGUGCGCGUGCGCGUGCGCGUGCGUGUGUGUGUUUUAGGGGGGUAACUCUUUGAAGGACUCGUUCUGUUUUAUUAAAGGGGAGGUUUCAGAGACCUGUUAUCACCAUUCUAAAGACUACGUCCUGUCAAUAUAUUAAAGGGGAGGUUUCAGAGACCUACGUCCUGUCAAUAUAUUAAAGGAGAGGUUUCAUUAUAAUACCACCAAAUAAAUCGGGCCUUGAAUUUCCUCAACUGUGCAUUGUAUGUUUGAAUAUUUGCACCCACCAGACGUAACACUAUUAAAAUGUAGCUUGGAGACAUACAGUCUGUGUGUUACCGAUCUAUAUUAACCUCCCACCCCAUCUAGGAUGUUAUAUUUCUAUGGUUCAGAGUAGGAUCCCAGAUCAGCUAUCCUACUGUAUCACUCAUAAUGAAUCAGACUGG